AAACUUUCAACAACGGAUCUCUUGGUUCUGGCAUCGAUGAAGAACGCAGCGAAAUGCGAUAAGUAAUGUGAAUUGCAGAAUUCAGUGAAUCAUCGAAUCUUUGAACGCACAUUGCACCGUCUGGUAUUCCGGACGGUAUGCCUGUUCGAGCGUCAUAACAACCUUCAAG
rnacentral:rRNA from 1 species